UGCCCCAUGGCUGAGUUGGUUACAGCGUCCGACUGUUAUUUACCGGCAUCGGAAGGUCGUGAGUUCGAGCCUCACUGGGGCAG
rfam:Suillus luteus TH-Slu-Lm8-n1 unplaced genomic scaffold CY34scaffold_2, whole genome shotgun sequence.